rnacentral:pre_miRNA from 1 species
UUUAAUUUUUAAUUCUUCGUUUUAUUCAAAUUAUUUUUGCGAUUGAUAUUUUUGUUUUUAUUAGAUGAUAAAUCAUAAAUAGUACUUUAUAUGUGACUAUUUUUUUUAAUUUUUUGAAAAUUUUUUUAAAUAAGACGGAUGGUCGAACGUUGGACACAGAAAC